AUUGAACGCUGGCGGCAUGCCUUACACAUGCAAGUCGAACGGCAGCACGGGAGCAAUCCUGGUGGCGAGUGGCGAACGGGUGAGUAAUAUAUCGGAACGUGCCCAGUCGUGGGGGAUAACGUAGCGAAAGCUACGCUAAUACCGCAUACGAUCUAUGGAUGAAAGCGGGGGAUCGCAAGACCUCGCGCGAUUGGAGCGGCCGAUAUCAGAUUAGGUAGUUGGUGAGGUAAAGGCUCACCAAGCCGACGAUCUGUAGCUGGUCUGAGAGGACGACCAGCCACACUGGGACUGAGACACGGCCCAGACUCCUACGGGAGGCAGCAGUGGGGAAUUUUUGGACAAUGGGCGCAAGCCUGAUCCAGCAAUGCCGCGUGCAGGAUGAAGGCCUCGGUGUAAC
rnacentral:rRNA from 1 species